rnacentral:rRNA from 1 species
GACGAACGCUGGCGGCGUGCCUAACACAUGCAAGUCGAACGGAAAGGCCCUGCUUUUGUGCGGUGCUCGAUUGGCGAACGCGUGAGUAACACGUGUGUAUCCUGCCCUUGACUUUCGGAUAACUUCACGAAACUGGGGCUAAUACCCGAUAGGAGCUCCUGCUCCAUGGUGGGGGUUGGAAAGUUUCGGCGGUUGGGGAUGGACUCGCGGCUUAUCCGCUUGUUGGUGGGGUAGUGGCUUACCAAGGCUUUGACGGGUAGGCGGCCUGAGAGGGGGACCAGCCACAUGGGGACUGAGAUACGGCGCAGACGGGAACGGGAGGCAGCGGGGGGAAAUAUUGCACAGUGGGCGGAAGCGUGAGACGGAGGCGCCGGGGGCGUAAUGACGGCUUUCGGGUUGAGAACAGCUGUCGCCUGAGACGAAGCGGGAGUGACGGUAAUGGAUAAAGAAGCACCGGCUAACUACGUG